GAUGAACGCUGGCGGCGUGCCUAAUACAUGCAAGUCGAACGCUGAAGGAAGGAGCUUGCUCUUUCCGGAUGAGUUGCGAACGGGUGAGUAACGCGUAGGUAACUUGCCUGGUAGCGGGGGAUAACUAUUGGAAACGAUAGCUAAUACCGCAUAACAGUAGAUGUUGCAUGAUAUCUACUUAAAAGGUGCAAUUGCACCACUACCAGAUGGACCUGCGUUGUAUUAGCUAGUUGGUGAGGUAACGGCUCACCAAGGCGACGAUACAUAGCCGACCUGAGAGGGUGAUCGGCCAAACUGGGAAUGAGACAGGGCCCAGAGGCCUACGGGAGGGAGCAGUAGGGAAUCUUCGGCAAGGGACGGAAGUCUGACCGAGAAACGCCGAGGGAGUGAAGAAGGUUGUCGGAUCGGAAAGCUCUGUUGUAAGAGAAGAAAGAGUGUGAGAGUGGAAAGUUCACACUGUGACGGUAGCUGACCAGAAAGGGACGGCUAACUACGUG
rnacentral:rRNA from 1 species